GAUGAACGCUGGCGGCGUGCCUAAUACAUGCAAGUCGAGCGAACAGAUAAGGAGCUUGCUCCUUUGACGUUAGCGGCGGACGGGUGAGUAACACGUGGGUAACCUACCUAUAAGACUGGAAUAACUCCGGGAAACCGGGGCUAAUGCCGGAUAACAUUUAGAACCGCAUGGUUCUAAAGUGAAAGAUGGUUUUGCUAUUACUUAUAGAUGGACCCGCGCCGUAUUAGCUAAUUGGUACGGUAACGGCUUACCAAGGCAACGAUACGUAGCCGACCUGAGAGGGUGAUCGGCCACACUGGAACUGAGACACGGUCCAGACUCCUACGGGAGGCAGCAGUAGGGAAUCUGCCGCAAUGGGCGAAGGCCUGACGGAGCAACGCCGCGUGAGUGAUGAAGGUCUUCGGAUCGUAAAACGCUGUUAUUAGGGAAGAACAAAUGUGUAAGUAACUGUGCACGUCUUGACGGUACCUAAUCAGAAAGCCACGGCUAACUACGUG
rnacentral:rRNA from 1 species